rnacentral:rRNA from 1 species
AUGUCUAAGCGACGACGGCAGGACGGGGAGGAGGGUCAGGCGGCCAACUACGACGGCCGCAGCGGCAGCAAGCACAAGAGCCUCUAUCUGGUUCUAGAUGACUGGCACGGUGGCUUCACCAUCCGCAAGCUCGACACCAACAACCCUGACCUAAGCGCGCCCCCCGUCUUCCGGCUAGCGUCACCUCUGAACAACCAUGCCAUGGACUUUGCCGCCCUGGGCACCAACAUAAUAGCCACCAGCAACCGAUGCACCGCAACCGUGGUCUUCGACACGGAAACCGCCGCGCUGGCCAUCGGCAAUCCCCUCCCGGACGCGCUUCUCAACGCCGUCAACUUCUUUGUCACCGCCGACGACACGUUGUUCGCGUUUACCUACCACUUCAUGUCGCGGCCUCCCGCAUUCGAAGUCAUGACGACCGCCGCCGCCAAGGACGAGAUGAUGCGCUCUCUGUGCCCAAGCACCGACUGGUCCUGGGAAAGCAUCCCGGCCCCCUUCACCAAGCAUCAAAGGAUUGUGUCCUACGCCCUUCACCCGGACGGACGCACCGUAUUCGUGUCUGUGGAUGACCGAAAGGUCAGCGGCACAGGCACGUUCUCGUUUGACAGCGAGAGCCGUGAGUGGAGGCGCCAUGGGGAAUGGGUGCUCCCUUUCCACCGCCAAGGUUACUUCGACGCCGAGCUAGAUGCAUGGGUCGGGCUACACCCGGAUGGCUACGUCUGCUCCUGCCAAGUUCCCUCCCUCUCCCUCGGCGGCAGCAGCAGCAACAGCGGUAGCAACACCACGCAGCAGCAGCCCAGCUGGAAGAUGGCCAAGGGGCAAAAACUGUGGAGCCCAACACAUCAGGUGUCUAAAUCCCAAGGGGCUACUCUCACAUCCAUGGGAAACUCCAGGUUUUUCCUUGUUGAUUGCGUGGUAGCCGAUGGGUUCGAGUUCCAGGAUGCCUUUGAGGACCCUCAUGGCUUCGUGCUCAACAUGACCACGUUCCGCCUCAAGUACAAUCAUCAGGGCAAGCUUCGAAUCGUCGACAGAAACACCACCUCUUGUCCUGUGUCUAGGCAACUCUCAUCUUUUGCUCCCGUAGCGUUCUGGAUGUAG